CGUGCAGUGUGGGGCGGGCCAGGAGCAAGGAGAGGCCUUCCUCCCUUUGUGCUCCCCCCCCCCGGGGGGGCCCUAUAAAUAGGCCCAGCCCCGGCUGUGGCUCAGCUCUCAGAGAGAGGCGAGCACCAGGCAGCCGUCUCAAGCCAAGCCCCCUGCCAACAUGGCCAGCGAGUUCAAGAAGAAGAUCUUCUGGAGGGCGGUGGUGGCCGAGUUCCUGGCCAUGACCCUCUUCAUCUUCAUCAGCAUCGGUUCUGCCCUGGGCUUCCAGUACCCCGUGAGGAACAACCAGACUUCAGGUGCGGCCCAGGAUAACGUGAAGGUGUCGCUGGCCUUUGGGCUGAGCAUUGCCACGCUGGCCCAGAGCGUGGGCCACAUCAGCGGCGCCCACCUCAACCCGGCCGUCACGCUGGGGCUCCUGCUCAGCUGCCAGAUCAGUGUCCUCCGGGCUGUCAUGUACAUCAUUGCCCAGUGUGUGGGGGCCAUCGUCGCCACUGCCAUCCUCUCAGGCAUCACCUCCUCCCUGCCCGGCAACUCCCUUGGCCUGAACUCGCUGGCCCCUGGCGUGAACUCGGGCCAGGGCCUGGGCAUCGAGAUCAUUGGCACCCUGCAGCUGGUGCUGUGCGUGCUGGCCACCACCGACAGGAGGCGCCGGGACCUUGGGGGCUCUGCCCCCCUUGCCAUCGGCUUCUCUGUGGCCCUGGGACACCUGCUGGCGGUGAGUGGGGGACCUUCCCAGGUGGGGGUGGGGAGGGCAGAGCCAGGCAGGUGUCCCGUGGAGGACAGUGGGUGGGAUCUGGACAGGGCUCAUUCCACGGGAUGGGGGGACCAGCUGCCCGUGAGAGGGACGCCUAGGGACCGCCCGACCAUCUUUCUGAGUCUGUUUGUCCCCUCCCUGUUUCCUCCCUUGUCCUCUCUCUCCAUCUCUCCAUGUCACCCUCUGGCUUCCUCUCCCUCUGCCUGUUUCUCCGUCUCGUGUCCGGCCCGCUGCCCCCACCCAGAUUGACUACACCGGCUGCGGCAUUAACCCUGCCCGGUCCUUCGGCUCCGCGGUGAUCACGCACAACUUCCAGGACCACUGGGUUUUCUGGGUGGGGCCGUUCAUCGGAGGAGCCCUGGCCGUGCUCAUCUAUGACUUCAUCCUGGCGCCGCGCAGCAGCGACCUCACAGACCGCGUGAAGGUGUGGACCAGCGGCCAGGUGGAGGAGUAUGACCUGGAUGGCGACGACAUCAACUCCAGGGUGGAGAUGAAGCCCAAAUAGGAGGGGCCUGGCCCGGGCAUCCAUGUGGGGGGGGCGAGGGCGGGCGGAGGGGGGGAGGGGUGAUAUCCACAUUGUAGACACUCUGACAAGCUGGCCAAAGUCACUUCCCAAAGAUCCGCAGGACCUGCGCGGUCAAGCCUGAUUUGGGGCUGUUGCUCUCACCUUCUUUCUCUUUCUCCGUUUUCUGGCCUCAGGACUUCCUGGGGACCGAGAUUCACCCAUCACCCACUCCCUUGACGUCACAGAGGAGGUGAAAGAGAGGGACCCACCCUGCUAGGUUGUCCCCUCAGAGUGUGACGGGAGGUGUGCCAGAAAGUCCCCCUCAUCCCAAAGUUGCUCACCAACGCACCUGCUGCAGGUGCCUGGGGCUCCAUGGUGAUGGCGUUGUGUCUUUGGGCGUCGCCCUCUUUCCUAGAAUGAGCACGUGCCCUCGAAGGUGCUCGGAGCGGGAAGAGAGCCCAGCAGGUGCAGCCGUGGGGGCAGGUGGCAGACAGGCCUUGUCCUUGCAGCCUGGCUUGCUUCCAGGGCACCCCCGCCCCAACCCUGUGGUGUGCUGCACGACCCUGGGCACAUUCCAAUCUUGGGGCCUCAGUGACCCCAUCUGUAAAGUGGCAGGGACCCCAUAAAGAGCUAUAUGGGCCUGAGCCCCCCUCUUUAGGAUUCUGUAAGUAUAGACACACCGCAGGUUCUGGAAGAUGUAGUCUGGACCAGCGCUGCUUCUUCCACUUGCCAAGUAUACAGCUGUACCUACCCAUCUGUGUGCAUACCUGUACAUAGGCUUAGUGUCUCAAAGCAGAGGGCGAUAUUCGGCCAUCGGAUGUCCCCGUUCCCAGGGGAGAGGGCUGAUCCCUAGGCACUGGCUCCACUGGACAGAGCCUGCUGUUGCAGAAUGAAGGCCUUGAAGGGGCGAGGGAGGGAUGACCGUGUUCCUUCAUGAGUUGUGGUUGGUCUUUUCCACCCAUCACUGCACCACCCCCAUCAUCACGCAGUUUUUCCCUCUUCCUGCCAGUGUAGACGCAGGCCACCGUGUGCAGGUGCAUUUAUUAAAGGGCACUGGGUCAUCUGAAGGUUAUCAAACCUGAGGACAGAUAAUCGUGAUUGGGAUCAGCCCUCGGAGGCCGACGCCCUGGCUGGAUGCUGAGGGGAAUUUUCAGGUCCCAGCUGAUCCUACGGGGUGGGGAGCAGCAGCCCCCCCAUUCCCAAGCUCCCGAGCGGAGGCCUUGGGCAGCUGGGUGACCUGCACGGCUCCCCAGGCCAUAGCCUUCCCUCCUCAUUUGUUUGGAGGGAGAGCUGGUUUUGACCCGAUGAAGUAGCUCUCUAUGGCUGCAGCCCCAGAGCAAUUCAGAGCACAGUCUGCUUGGGGCCAGCUAUCUACACGUCCGUUCAAUUCCACCAGGGCCAGAGCAGGUCCUCCCAUGUGCCCGUGGCCAUUGACUGUGACAAAAACGGAGAGACGCAAUGCACAGGUAUCUGGAAGCAGCAGGACAAUCAGGAGGCCCUUGAUGGUCACGACCCCUCAUGACAUCCGCACACUCCCUUCUCCCUUUCCUAGCAAAACCUUCUAGCCCAUUUAACAGCUAAAGAAACUGAGGCCAGGACCCACAGCUAGAUCAUGAUUUGGCCAGGCCUCCUAGCUGCCAGGGCCAUGUCUCUGGCUACUCCUUGGACCGGGAGACUGGCCCCUCUCUUUCCCAGCUUCUGCAUUUCCGCCUGGGCAAUGGCCAGGGGCCAGGAGCGGGGAGGGUUGUGCUGCAGGGGGGGGGGGGGGGCGGUGGUCAGACCCAUCCUGUCCUGUCCUGGCUGCUGCCUUCCAGGACCCUGCAUCUGUCUGCUCUGCGUAUAUGGCUCUUUGGAAUUGGAAUUACAUCAUAUGUUAAGAAAAUAAAGAAUAACAGAGGUCA